GGAAUUCAGAGGGCAGGAAUCUGACAUUUAGUCAGCACCGAAGACCUGAUGAUGAACUCAAGUCUCAGAAAAGAAGGUAGCUUGCCCAAGUCACAUGGCCUGGCAGCAUGAUGGAUGAGCAGUGGAAAGCCCUUCUAUGAAACAUGCCAGACCUGUUGCAAUCAUAUCUCUCCCGACGGC